CCGGAACCCUACACCCCAAAACCCAUUCCAAUUCCCCCCACUGCACUCCCUCUCUUGCUCUCUGACGCCGACUCUGUCUCUCUUCUUCUCUCAUCGCUGCAUCUCUUUUAUGUUUCAGUCGCGCUCUGCACUGAGCGUUGAAAAUGCGAUGCACCCUUAACCGGUGUUUGAACUGUGGUUAAGGUUCGUCGACGUUCGAACUGCGGUUAAAGCUGCUCGGCACUCGAAUUUCGGUUAGACGUACUUCAAACUGCGGUUCGAAUUUCAGUUAGCCGUACAGAUGUUUCACUGUUCUAAUCUGAAAUAUACUCUUAAACUUUGCUCGCUGUGAUGAAUAAUCGAUCCGACCACCCACAAGAACACACCAACACACACCAGGAGAUCACAAUUCUCCCAACACCAAACCACGGAAAAAAAAUAAGAAACAGAAUGAACGUGGUGGGGUGCAGCCAGAAUCAUUUAAUGUAAAGGGCAUGAGAAAUUUGGAGGUGCAGCCAGACCUCAGGGAGAAUUAGUCUUCAUAUGUGAAUUUGUUUCAAAAUACGUCUAUAGAUCAUAGUUUAUUGUGUAUUGUGUAUCAAAUAUAGUGUGAAU
rnacentral:sRNA from 1 species